UAUUCACAGUUCAAAGGUUCAAGCCAAGCCAAUCCCGUUUCUUUCUUCACCAGAGAAAAUUCAAUAACCUAAUGCUAAAAGAUAAAAAGUAGAGAUAGUGAGAAAGAGUGAUAAUGGCAGCAGCAUUAGCAGCCACGUGUUGCCAUGGAUCCUUGCUAACGUCAUCCUCGUCCAAAGUGGAACAACAGUAUUAUCGGCAGACCACGCCGCCGCCGUCGGCAUUACACAGCAGCAGAAAAUUGAAAAGCGAGAAAAUGGUGGGUGGGUUUAAUCGCGAUGUGAAAUGCGGCGUUGGAAUCGGCGAUUUCAUCGGUGGAGAUUUGUUAAAGUUAGAUUUAGGGAAAUGGUUAUCGGACGUAGAAGAACACAAGGCGUUGGCGAUUUACAGUCCCCACGAAGGUGGGUAUGAAGGAAGAUAUCUUAAUCGCUUGAGAUAUCAAGGUUACCAUUUCCUAGACCUCUCUGCUCGUGGCCUCGGCGAUCCUGAAACCACUCUCACAAAACUCCACCCUGUUUGUCCUGCUCACAUUGGGAAGGAGCCAAUUGCAAGAUGGUAUUUCCCACCUGAAGUUGAUUACAGGCUUUCAAUGUUGCCUCCUGACGCCAAGGGGCUUAUUCUCUGGGUUAUUGAAGCAAAGUUCAAUUUAAUAGGUGUUGUCCAAGGCUGAGUUACAGUUUCUUGCAAUCCUUCCUUCUCUUCGGCCGAGAGUAAGGGUCAUUGCCGAAUGUGGAAAUUGGAGGAAGUUCUUAUGGAAGCCUCUCAAAGAAAUUGCAGGUUUGACCCCAAUUGUGGAUUGAUUAUAAAUAUAAUAAUGUUCUUCAAGAUCGAGAUUCAUCUAUUGCAUAAUGUUAUGUUAAUGUUAAAACAUUCAUCUUGUAAUAUCAAAUUGUAUAGAAAGAACAGAAGCCAAUUGGAGUUGAUUGAGUGUUGGUUUCUUUAUGCC